GGGGGACUUCGAUCGGGUGGCCGAUGCACCAGGGCGCAGGAGUUGAAACGCACCUAGGUCUACGUGCUGAUGCUCUCGUGUACCGAUCGGAUCUGGCUAGUGAGCAGCAAUGCGAUUAAGGCAGGAAAUGAGCAGGAGAGAGAUGCAACGUGCUAGUUGAUCACGGUGUGCAGGGAUACAUAUACAUAUACAUGUACAGAAGAGGCUGUUGGCCGUAACUAUUUAACAAAACUAGGUCACGUUAUUGCAGUAACGGGGGGACUUGCAUCUUGCCUCGGGCACAUACGGAAGGUCGAUGAGAUGGGAAUGUGAUCCCAUCCCAGCACCAAGCAACAACCGUGUAUCCUCCGUUCCUCCUCUGAAGACGACGACUAGGAAGGAAGUAAUUGCCGCACGGAGCCAACCAGACGACAGCUGCCAACCAACACUAGCUGCGCUGCCCCUUCUGGCAUGUGAACCGCUCGUGGCCUGCUGGUCACUGGAAACCAUUUCUCCGCGAGCGUACAUGACGGGCCAUGGAUAGGCCUUGCUUGGUCGUGAAUAACCUCCGGCCGAAUAGGGAUAUGGCAACGGGUCGGGUUCAGAGCGGGUUCAGCCAAAACCCGUCUAUCAUGGAACCUGAAAAUCAAAAUCCAAUUUGCACCGAAUUACUAAUCGGGUUCAAAAGUGCUCUUGCAUCCAAACCUGACCGGAAUCAAAACCUGGUAGGAACCCGUCAGGUCUUACCAACCAACGGAAGUGGCGUGUUACGUGCGUUGGAGCGGAAGGCGGUGCCAGCACGAAGAAGGCAAAUGACAACACCAGGUGUGGAGAGGGCAGAUAGCAACGUCGGGCACGAUCGCACGAAGGGAUGGCGCAGAGUGGCGAACGGCAAUGACGCUAGGCACGGAGAGGGUGAGCAGUGACCAUGACCGCCAGGCGCCGAGUGGCGAACGACGAUGACGCUGGGUGCGGAGGGGGCGGUGCCAGCACAGAGAGGGCCAUCGACGGUGAUAUAUGCGCAUGUGGUGUGAUUAGUUGUCCAUAUGGACCGUAUAUGCAUGCUGAGUAGAAGCAGACUGAGCGGAGUUAUAUUUGUUGAGAAGAAGAGUGUUUGGUUUGUUGUAUCUGUCUAGAUAAGUUGAGCUGAGAUUCUGUUUGGUUAACCGAAUUUGAGGUUGUAUAA